GUGUGCCUACGGGAGGCAGCAGUAGGGAAUCUUCCACAAUGGACGAAAGUCUGAUGGAGCAACGCCGCGUGAGUGAAGAAGGGUUUCGGCUCGUAAAACUCUGUUGGUAGUGAAGAAAGAUAGAGGUAGUAACUGGCCUUUAUUUGACGGUAAUUACUUAGAAAGUCACGGCUAACUACGUGCCAGCAGCCGCGGUAAUACGUAGGUGACAAGCGUUGUCCGGAUUUAUUGGGCGUAAAGCGAGUGCAGGCGGUUCAAUAAGUCU
rnacentral:rRNA from 1 species